rnacentral:rRNA from 1 species
UACGUAGGAGGCGAGCGUUGUCCGGAUUUACUGGGCGUAAAGAGCGCGCAGGCGGUCGAAUAAGUCGAAUGUGAAAGCCCCCGGCUUAACUGGGGAGGGUCAUUCGAUACUGCUCGACUUGAAGGCAGGAGAGGGUAGUGGAAUUCCCGGUGUAGUGGUGAAAUGCGUAGAUAUCAGGAGGAACACCGGUGGCGAAGGCGGCCCUCUGGACGGAUACUGACGCUGAGGCGCGAAAGCGUGGGGAUCAAACAGG